UAUACCGACUGCUGCAGCUAUGUUUCUGCUGUGGAAGUCCUAGAUAUGUUGGAAAAUUAAACUGCGUCACGUCUGGAUUAGUAACCUCAUCUGGUGGAACGAACCAGCCUUCUCAAGUAACGCUGCAGUUUCAGGAUGUUGCUGAAGGUGAAAUGCAAUAGUAUCAAGAAGUACAUCAAAUUGCCCUCAGGCUUCACCUAUUCAGAAUUCAUCAGGGAAGUCAAAAACAAGUUUGGGCUUCCUGAUGUAGCUCAACUUGACAUUUUUGAUGAUACUGACACAGCAGUAGAGGAAGACAUUCUUCUAGAGCUGUUGGAGGCUAAUCCAGACAUGUGCCUGACAGUAUGUGACAGCAUUUCCAAUGAAGACUUUUCUCCUCUAGAUCAUUCAACAUCAUCUUCCCUCACGGACACCAUAUCACUUCCUUCAAGUGACAGUGACCUUAGAGAACUGGGUAUGACCACAGGCAGAAAUAGAUCCAGCAAAGAAGACAUGAGCAGUUCUGCAACAAAGGCUUCCGUGUCAGAGGCGGCAAAGGAGAUUGUAGAAAAUGCCUUGCUUAAGAAGCCUGGAGGAGAGGAUAUUCUUGAGGAGUACAAGUCAGAAAAUUCACUAAUGCACCGCACUCGGAGACAGCUUGUCAACAUAUUGGCGAGUGAUAUGACUGAGAGACAUGGGUAAGAUUUAAAAAGGAAUUACAAAGAAAUGUAAUAAGACUGUAAUCUUGUAAUGAUAUAAUUAAUGUAAUGAUAUAACUAAUGUUUCUUGUACUAAAGAAAUGAUUAAAGAUGGACUUUCUUCUCUCCAUAGCAGGUUUCCUUCCCGUCAGCAGAAGGAGAAGUAUGCUCUGGGAAUUAUUACUCUCUUUCCCUCACUGAAGGAUCCUUUUUCUCCAAAGGGCUAUGAGCAUUUCUAUGAUGGGGAAAGAGGAACUGGAUAUUUAGCGUGGCGCCUCAAAACCAUUUCCAGGACUUCAGCAAAACGGCCAGUCAAAGAAGUCUCAGUGCAUCAAGCACAAGGACCAAAGCGCCAAAGAUCAGCAACCACACUGCCUCAGCAGCUUGAUGGAGAUGCCUGCAGGGAGGCCAUUUCAUUUCUUGUUCACUCCC